UGGGGAAUCUUAGACAAUGGGGGAAACCCUGAUCUAGCCAUGCCGCGUGAGCGAUGAAGGCCUUAGGGUUGUAAAGCUCUUUUCAGCUGGGAAGAUAAUGACGGUACCAGCAGAAGAAGCCCCGGCUAACUCCGUGCCAGCAGCCGCGGUAAUACGGAGGGGGCUAGCGUUGUUCGGAAUUACUGGGCGUAAAGCGCACGUAGGCGGAUUAGUCAGUCAGAGGUGAAAUCCCAGGGCUCAACCCUGGAACUGCCUUUGAUACUGCUAGUCUUGAGGUCGAGAGAGGUGAGUGGAAUUCCGAGUGUAGAGGUGAAAUUCGUAGAUAUUCGGAGGAACACCAGUGGCGAAGGCGGCUCACUGGCUCGAUACUGACGCUGAGGUGCGAAAGCGUGGGGGAGCAAACAGGAUUAGAUACCCUGGUAGUCCACGCCGUAAACGAUGAAUGCCAGUCGUCGGGUUGCAUGCAAUUCGGUGACACACCUAACGGGAUUAAGCAUUCCGCCUGGGGAGUACGGUCGCAAGAUUAAAACUCAAAGGAAUUGACGGGGUCAUAGCUG
rnacentral:rRNA from 1 species